rnacentral:lncRNA from 10 species
UUUCCGGUUCUCCCCCGACCCUUCACGGCUCCUCUUCCCGCCGCUCCUCUUCCCGCCGCCCCUCUUCCCUCGCCACCUACCGCUGCUUUUCCUCCCAUUCUCGCCCCGCCCCUUCCCCCGCCCUCCCCGCGCCCCGUCGCACGAGCGCUCCCUGCGAGUGGCGCAGGUAACAGACCGCAGGGGCAAGACAGCCGGCGCGGGAGGAGGAUGGCGCUGUCGGUGCUGCGCUUGGCGCUGCUGCUCCUGGCAGUUACCUUCGCAGCCUCUCUGAUCCCUCAAUUUGGUCUGUUUUCAAAAUAUAGAACGGGAAGGUGGUCAUAAUAUUAAAAUCAUUCGAAAUGGACCCUGCUGAUGGAGCAGUUUACAGAAAAGAAGAUGGAGAGACCACCUUCACUGGCAGACUAGAUAAAUUGCAUUUCCCCUUUUUCUCUUUUCCUGUGUUUCUUUACAUGAGAUUUGUUAACACACAUUUUCUGAGAGCAGGUAUGGAAGACAGCCAUGUGUAGUGAUGGAUAAUUUAAAGAAAAAAAGAAUCCUUGUUUCUUGGCUUUUGCUCCUGGAGUUAAGCUUACUGCCCAGGUGACUUGUGCAUUGCUUUAUUUAGUUGAAAUAAAAUCAGCAUUGAAUUCAG